rnacentral:rRNA from 1 species
GAGUUUGAUCUUGGCUCAGGAUGAACGCUGGCGGCGUGCCUAAUACAUGCAAGUCGUACGAACAGCGGAAAGUGCUUGCACUUUCCAAGUAAGUGGCGAACGGGUGAGUAACACGUGAAUAACCUACCUCAAAGUCUGGGAUAACCAUUGGAAACAGUGACUAAUACCGGAUAAAACCUAGUAGCACAUGCUACAAGGUUAAAAGCUGCGUUUGCAGCGCUUUAAGAUGGAUUCGCGGUGCAUAGUUAGUUGGUGAGGUUAAAGGCUCACCAAGACAAUGAU